rnacentral:rRNA from 1 species
GACGAACGCUGGCGGCGUGCUUAACACAUGCAAGUCGAACGGAAAGGCCCUGCUUUUGUGGGGUGCUCGAGUGGCGAACGGGUGAGUAACACGUGAGUAACCUGCCCUUGACUUUGGGAUAACUUCAGGAAACUGGGGCUAAUACCGGAUAGGAGCUCCUGCUGCAUGGUGGGGGUUGGAAAGUUUCGGCGGUUGGGGAUGGACUCGCGGCUUAUCAGCUUGUUGGUGGGGUAGUGGCUUACCAAGGCUUUGACGGGUAGCCGGCCUGAGAGGGUGACCGGCCACAUUGGGACUGAGAUACGGCCCAGACUCCUACGGGAGGCAGAAGUGGGGAAUAUUGCACAAUGGGCGGAAGCCUGAUGCAGCAACGCCGCGUGCGGGAUGACGGUCUUCGGGUUGUAAACCGCUUUCGCCUGUGACGAAGCGUGAGUGACGGUAAUGGGUAAAGAAGCACCGGCUAACUACGUG